rnacentral:rRNA from 1 species
AUUGAACGCUGGCGGCAGGCCUAACACAUGCAAGUCGAGCGAGCGGCGGACGGGUGAGUAAUGUCUGGGAAACUGCCUGAUGGAGGGGGAUAACUACUGGAAACGGUAGAUAAUACCGCAUACCAUCAGAUGUGGCCAGAUGGGAUUAGCUAGUCGGUGGGGUAACGGCUCACCAAGGCGACGAUCCCUAGCUGGUCUGAGAGGAUGACCAGCCACACUGGAACUGAGACACGGUCCAGACUCCUACGGGAGGCAGCAGGAGGGAAUAUUGGACAAUGGGCGAAAGCCUGACGCAGCCACGCCGCGUGUAUGAAGAAGGCUUUCGGGUUGUAAAGUACUGUCAGCGGGGAGGCGUUACCCGCAGAAGAAGCACCGGCUAACUCCGUGCCAGCAGCCGCGGUAAUUC